CAAGAGCACUGCGUCCUCCCCGGAGAACUCUCUAGAGUCUGGAAUGAGGAAAAGCCGGGUUGUUAAGAGUGGGAAACAGGGGACCUGCUUAUUGGUAUAACGUUUGUCAUAGAAACAAAUCGGAUGCUUCACACUAAGUGACCUUUUUGUCCAAUCCCAGGAGACGGCCGGCUUGUUCAUUUAUAAUCAUUUGGUUCCACCUACAAACAAAUGCUACUUUGUUUGCAUUUGGAGACAGCGAAUGGUCUGAAGCUUUGACCUACUCCCACCUCAUUCAACGAAACCAGCAGCGAAUAUUACAAGCUAGAUUAAUUAGUUAAUAUUUAGAUAUACUAACUACUGCCAGAAUAAACACUGUCAACCGGCCAAAUCAAAGAGAAGCUUCCACUGAUUGCUUGGAUACAUUCUGAGUGAUAGGACAUCAUGAGAAACGCUGGGCUGGAAGAAGCACAGGCUGGAAUCAAGAUUGCCGGG